AGCUCGGGUGUGAUGUGUAAAGAUGUAUGCAGUAGCCAUGAUUACCAACUGUUGUAUAUACCCCUAGAUAUGCAACACACUUUUGGUAGACAGUAAUGCAUGGGCGUCUACGCACCACGCCACUGGUAUGAAGCUGAAAGUACGACAUGCAGGAAAUGUAAUUCUAUAGGAGAGGUCGGGUGGCCUGGGGACUUGUAGGUGCAAGAAACGGGAUCCCCACACGUCAAGUGCCGUCUAUUAUACACCUUUACUCUCCAUAUACACCGUCACUCUCGACCUGUCCGCCAAGCUGAAACGGUCUCAAGCUCUUCUUUCGCUAUGACUCUCUUGCCUUCUCGGUUGACCUUGAUCGUUGUCGUUGUCUACACACUGCUGGAGACACGAAACGUCGGAUCUACACACUGCACAGUCGUUCCCGGCCGUGUUACCGUUUCUCAUCCAGGUUGCGCUGAUGUAACAAUAACUGCCACUGUCUGCAGCGGCAUGUGCUCAUCGACGACCAAAGCAUUGCUGGUUCCUCCCUAUUACAGAAUGGCCCGGGUGAACUGCUGCUCUCCAAUUAGAGAAGUGCAGAAAGAUGUCUACAUGGUUUGCAGUAAACCCGGAAUUGGAACCGCAAACUCGCUGCAAAAGAAGACUGUCAACGUUCCAACAGAGUGUGUAUGCAGGCAGUGCUCUGCGUCCUAGAAAUUAGUAACUUGGUGUGAUCGGAAGUCACAUGCGGUACGUAGAGACUUUGCUUUACAACCUAGACUAGAUAAUUGAGGAAGCUAGCUAGAUAGGCUGUGAGUACAUUGAGGCGUGCAAGAAUAAACGAAUUGAUG